rnacentral:tRNA from 2 species
GGGCCUGUAGCUCAGUUGGUUAGAGCACCGCCUUGAUAAGGCGGGGGUCAUAGGUUCGAGUCCUAUCAGGCCCA